rnacentral:rRNA from 1 species
AACGAACGCUGGCGGCAUGCCUAACACAUGCAAGUCGAACGAGAUCUUCGGGUCUAGUGGCGCACGGGUGCGUAACGCGUGGGAAUCUGCCCUUUGGUUCGGAAUAACAGUUGGAAACGACUGCUAAUACCGGAUGAUGACGAAAGUCCAAAGAUUUAUCGCCAGGGGAUGAGCCCGCGUAGGAUUAGCUAGUUGGUGUGGUAAAGGCGCACCAAGGCGACGAUCCUUAGCUGGUCUGAGAGGAUGAUCAGCCACACUGGGACUGAGGCACGGCCCAGACUCCUACGGGAGGCGGCAGUGGGGAAUAUUGGACAAUGGGCGAAAGCCUGAUCCAGCAAUGCCGCGUGAGUGAUGAAGGCCUUAGGGUUGUAAAGCUCUUUUACCCGGGAUGAUAAUGACAGUACCGGGAGAAUAAGCUCCGGCUAACUCCGUGCCAGCCGCCGCAGUAA